rnacentral:rRNA from 1 species
UACGUAGGGUGCAAGCGUUGUCCGGAAUUAUUGGGCGUAAAGAGCUCGUAGGCGGUUUGUCGCGUCUGCUGUGAAAACUCGGGGCUUAACUCCGGGCCUGCAGUGGGUACGGGCAGACUAGAGUGCGGUAGGGGAGACUGGAAUUCCUGAUGUAGCGGUGAAAUGCGCAGAUAUCAGGAGGAACACCGGUGGCGAAGGCGGGUCUCUGGGCCGUAACUGACGCUGAGGAGCGAAAGCGUGGGGAGCGAACAGG